UACGGAGGGUCCAAGCGUUAUCCGGAAUCAUUGGGUUUAAAGGGCUCGUAGGCGGCCUGGUAAGUCAGUGGUGAAAGCCCAUCGCUCAACGGUGGAACGGCCAUUGAUACUGCCAGGCUUGAAUUUCCAGGAAGCAACUAGAAUAUGUAGUGUAGCGGUGAAAUGCUUAGAUAUUACAUGGAAUACCAAUUGCGAAGGCAGGUUGCUACUGGUGGAUUGACGCUGAUGGACGAAAGCGUGGGUAGCGAACAGG
rnacentral:rRNA from 1 species